GAGGGUAUAGCUCUGGGGAAGAGUGGGUGCUUAGCACACACAAGGUCCUGGGUUCAAUCCCCAGUGCUUCCA
rnacentral:tRNA from 1 species